rnacentral:misc_RNA from 1 species
AGAGCAUAGAGAAAAGCAAACCUUACAAAAUGGGCCAAAUUGGUCAAAAAGCAUUGACGAUGUAGUGCCCACUUCAACAAGCCUGAAUUCCUUUCCAGCGAAACCACCGGUGUUUCAUUUGAAAUCUACGCCGUCGAUUGUCUCCGUGACCCACUCCUUGGCACCAUCCAUUUCCUUACCAGCAACAUGCCACUCUUUUCCCCAGCCAAAGAAAUAAAAACCCCCAUCCAUUGCUCUGCAGAUUCAACGACCGUCUGGAAGAUUCCAGGGCGUGCUUAACAACGGUGUUAUUAUCAACAUUUCGCGACCGUAAUGGAGUAUCGGCUAUUGAUUAUCGUGAUCUUAUGGGAGAGAGUAUUCAUCGCCGGUGGCUUCGUGAAUUAAAGAAGUCAAUUUCGACGGAAGAGGAUGCGCGCGGCGAAAAUUCUUGUGGAGACCCGGGAGAUUUAUUUGAUGGUUGCUGAUUUCACGACUACUUCAUCUUCAGCCUCAUCAACAGCCCUGAAGGACUGAAACGGGGUUAGAGACGAAUCAUUUGAUGUCACCAUUGGCCGAUGGAGGGCUAUUCUGUGGGUUGCUGUUGCAGAUGAGGCUUCCUCUGUGCCCGGCUUAUAUCGUUAUCUAGGGGUGAUCAGGUGGUUUAACAUUUUGACAAUGGCGGUAAUUGAAAGUGUACUUAUUGGAUUGAUGAGAUCAUUCUCUUAUGCAUACUUCGGGUGGGACAUGUAGAUCGUCAGAUCAGUAUUUGUGAGUUGACCAUGGAGUUAGUAAGUCUGAUCAACGGUAGAGAUCACUUGAUGUGUAAACCGUUGUGGUCGAUUCGAAAUUUUAAGCCGCUCUGUAUUCAUAGUAAAGUUGGGGGCGAAACAGAGGGCUCCUGGGCUGGCGGCGGUGGAUUAAUUGGGCGGGCUGAUUGAUUACCGAUAUCCCACUUUGGUCCAUUUAAAAUUUGGAAGUCCAAAUAUCCUUAUUCCCAAGUUUGCCAAUGUCUGUUAAAAUGGGCCGACAAGCAUAGAAGUCCUUCUAGCUCAAUAUU